rnacentral:rRNA from 1 species
CCUACGGGCGGCAGCAGUGAGGAAUAUUGGUCAAUGGACGAGAGUCUGAACCAGCCAAGUAGCGUGAAGGAUGACUGCCCUAUGGGUUGUAAACUUCUUUUAUAUGGGAAUAAAAUGUUCCACGUGUGGGAUUUUGUAUGUACCAUAUGAAUAAGGAUCGGCUAACUCCGUGCCAGCAGCCGCGGUAAUACGGAGGAUCCGAGCGUUAUCCGGAUUUAUUGGGUUUAAAGGGAGCGUAGGUGGAUUGUUAAGUCAGUUGUGAAAGUUUGCGGCUCAACUGUAAAAUUGCAGUUGAAACUGGCAGUCUUGAGUACAGUAGAGGUGGGCGGAAUUCGUGGUGUAGCGGUGAAAUGCUUAGAUAUCACGAAGAACUCCGAUUGCGAAGGCAGUUCACUGGACUGCAACUGACACUGAGGCUCGAAAGUGUGGGUAUCAAACAGGAUUAGAUACCCCAGUAGUC